rnacentral:rRNA from 1 species
UGGCGGCAGGCCUAUACAUGCAAGUCGAGCGGUCCUUCGGGACAGCGGCGAACGGGUUAGUAACGCGUGGGAACGUGCCCUUUAGUACGGAAUAGCCAUUGGAAACGAUGAUUAAUACCGUAUACGCCCCAAGGGGGAAAGAUUUAUCGCUAAAGGAUCGGCCCGCGUUAGAUUAGGUAGUUGGUAGGGUAAUGGCCUACCAAGCCGACGAUCUAUAGCUGGUUUGAGAGGAUGAUCAGCAACACUGGGACUGAGACACGGCCCAGACUUCUACGGAAGGCAGCAGUAGGGAAUCUUGGACAAUGGGCGAAAGCCUGAUCCAGCCAUGCCGCGUGAGUGAUGAAGGCCCUAGGGUUGUAAAGCUCUUUCGCCAGGGAAGAUAAUGACGGUACCUGGUAAAGAAACCCCGGCUAACUCCGUGCC